rnacentral:lncRNA from 1 species
CCUAUCUCAAAUGUAGUGGCAUUCUGAGGUGCUGGGAGUUAACCCUUCAACAAAUGAAUUUGAGGAGGAAGAGGACACAGUUCAGCCCAUAGCAGGAACCAGAAAGGAUAAAGAAAAUGAUACUGAAAUUAAGAAGCCACUCAGAAAAAGAAAACACAGGAGAGAAAUGUGAGGAGCCUCAAUUUUCAUGAAAGAUGUCCAGAAUAAUCCAUUUAACCCUCUCUUCCACGAUCUCAUUGUGUUUGUGUAACUCCAGGCCAAGUAUCAAUAACAUCCAAGUUGAUUUAUGGUGGUGAAAGGUUUUUCCGUGAGAACUCUGAUGAUGGAAGUCAAUAAAUGAGUAUUAGGAAGAUAGAAGUCUCUCUACAAACCCAAACUGGUGGGGCUAGUUUAUGUCAAAGGAAUGAAAAAUGAGGCUGGUCUGUGAAUGCCUAGUACCCUGUGUGAAAGCCAAGCUAAAAACCAGAUCUUGGGUGAAUUUUUAUUCUCCAUCAAAAAUUUGCAUUUGUACACCCACUUUUUGUAACAGAUUCUUUUUAUGCUAACUCCUCAACGAAGUUGCUUCUACUGCUUUUGAAGACUGGACAGUGUUCCCUAUAUUUACCCAAAAUUGUACAUUUAGCAGGUGAAAUUUGGAAACUCAAGUGCAGCUACCUAGAAAUCUGGAAUGAGAUCACAAGCUGGCUUAAAAGUAUUUGAGAUUCCCUGAAUCUUCUUUGUCUGUCAGAAUAUUCAAUACAUUUUCUUUUAUCUGUGUGUUCCAUUUCUCAAAAUUUGGGCCAA